UUUUAUUUGAGAGUUUGAUCCUGGCUCAGGAUGAACGCUGGCGGCGUGCCUAACACAUGCAAGUUGAGCGAUUUACUUCGGUAAAGAGCGGCGGACGGGUGAGUAACGCGUGGGUAACCUACCCUGUACACACGGAUAACAUACCGAAAGGUAUGCUAAUACGGGAUAAUAUAUUUGAGAGGCAUCUCUUGAAUAUCAAAGGUGAGCCAGUACAGGAUGGACCCGCGUCUGAUUAGCUAGUUGGUAAGGUAACGGCUUACCAAGGCGACGAUCAGUAGCCGACCUGAGAGGGUGAUCGGCCACAUUGGAACUGAGACACGGUCCAAACUCCUACGGGAGGCAGCAGUGGGGAAUAUUGCACAAUGGGCGAAAGCCUGAUGCAGCAACGCCGCGUGAGUGAUGAAGGCCUUCGGGUCGUAAAACUCUGUCCUCAAGGAAGAUAAUGACGGUACUUGAGGAGGAAGCCCCGGCUAACUACGUGCCAGCAGCCGCGGUAAUACGUAGGGGGCUAGCGUUAUCCGGAUUUACUGGGCGUAAAGGGUGCGUAGGCGGUCUUUCAAGUCAGGAGUGAAAGGCUACGGCUCAACCGUAGUAAGCUCUUGAAACUGGGAGACUUGAGUGCAGGAGAGGAGAGUGGAAUUCCUAGUGUAGCGGUGAAAUGCGUAGAUAUUAGGAGGAACACCAGUUGCGAAGGCGGCUCUCUGGACUGU
rnacentral:rRNA from 1 species